rnacentral:tRNA from 1 species
GCCCCUUUAGCUCAAUUGGUAGAGCAACGGACUCUUAAUCCGUAGGUCCUGGGUUCGAGCCCCAGAGGGGGCA